UAGAUUAAAAGAUCCAACUAUAACUGUUUAGUUAAUUAUUCUGAGGUGUGAGAACUCAGUCAUGUAAAAACAUCUGAAAACAUUUCAGCUGAGUCAGUUUAACUUUUGAUGUUUCAUGUUACACAUUUAAUUCAGUUUAUGAAGAAUUUCUUUACUAGUUUAGUUUGUGGUUUAUUACAUCAGAGUUUAAUCAGGACAUCAGUUUAGAUUUGACUUGUCUGCAAUCAGUAGGAAUUAAAGUUAAUGAUGUUUUGAAGUAGAACAUUUUCCACUAAGGAGAAGGUGACUCUGUCUCUUUACAGACAUUCAGGAGUUUGGGGCUGUUGUCUACGUUACAGUGAAGAUCCUGCUAAUUGUAAUGCUCUACAGUACAACCGCCAUCUUUGAAUGCUGGAUUAGAUCAAGAUUCUCCAACAAACCAGAGAAGGACGUAGAAGAAGCAGAUUAUGUCAGCAGGGUGAUCCACAUUCAAGCUUCAUGAGCCACAAAGAAGACGAGGAAGAUGUCAAGUUCUCUGUUAGAGGAAGGAUUUCUAUUCUAUCUUCUUUAUUUCUGUCUGAACAUGUGUUAUGUGGUGAAAUAUGAUAUUUAAAUUAUUCUGAAAAGUGAUCUCAGUUCUAAUUUCUAGUUAAACUUAAUCAUUGGUCGUCAUUCUGGUUUGUCUUGUUUGACUUUCUGCCUCAUUUUCUGCUGCUUGUUCUGCUGAUUUGGCUUCGACUCAAGAGUCCAGCAGGUGGACUGAGCACUGGACUCACUGGUUGCUACAAACACACAUUAUAACUGUAUUGUUCAGCUACACUGUGUGACCACAACAUCUUAUAAUGACAACAGGUGUGUUUGUACCACAAAAUGUUACAGAUUUCCUUCACAGUUUACUGGAAACUAACUUAAACUCUCUUUUUUUUAUAUGGACCAUGCCGCUUUAAAGCAUAGGCUUAUUUGCUUGGGAUUGUCAGAUCAUGUAGUUUCCUGGCUCAAAAAUUAUUUGAGUGACAGGACCCAGUGUAUUAAAUAUGAUGGUCUAUGUUCUGCAUUUGUGUCCACAAGGGGUUGCCACAGGGUUUGCUAUUAGUUCCUCUUUUGUUCAUUAUGUACAUUAAUGAAUUGGGACAGAAUGUGUCUGAUGCUAAUAUGCAUUUUUAUGCUGACGACACAAUUAUUUACUGUUUUGGCUCAAAUCCUGCUAGAGCUGUUGAAUCUCUGCAGAAAGCAUUCAGUGUGGUCCAGCACACACUUUUACGACUAAAACUAGUUCUUAAUGCUGACAAAACUAAAUUAAUGCUGUUCUCAAAUUCUAAGAAGGUUCCUCAAAUGAUCCCCACAGUGUCCACUCUUGAAAGAAAUGAAACUGAGGUAUUUCAUACUGGUACACUUUAAUCUACAAGGCCAUGCAUUGACUACUGCCCUUCUAUAUUUGUAACUUAAUCACAUGAAGAAAUGUUGAUUUGUUUGGUUUGCGAUCAAAUAAUCAUUUGUUGCUCUAUGUACCAUUUGUCCGUACUGAACUGGGAAGAAGGUCCUUUGUCUUCUCUGCCCCUUCCAGAUAGAACAUGAUGAAAAGGAUUAGAAAUUAACAAAACUUAUUUCAUUGAAUGACUUUAAAACCCAGACUGAGAGCACUUGAGAGAGCCUAUUUAACUUCUCUCUUUUCAUAAUUUAUUAAUAAUUUUAAUUGUUUAUUUUAACUGCUUAUUGUUGUAAUUAGUAC